ensembl:lncRNA
CUCUGGCCACUCGGCGGAGUGGAUGACUGCAGCGACCUUUUAGGCAGGCUGUCUGUAGCAUCGGGCUUCAAGCGAUGCUGCAGGGAACCGGAAUUAGAGGUGAGGGGUUGGUGUAUCUGUCGCCGGGUCAGGCCACCAGCGACCGAGGUCUCAUUACUAACUCUUUGUCCUCAGCUCUUUCGACCUCGUCUGAAAAACGAGCUUGAUAGCUCACGGAAAAGUCGUGAGGAUAGAUGCGGAAGGGAGAAAUUCACACGCAGAAUGAAGUUUAAGAAAAAACUUAAAAUUCUUCCCUCCACACCGUGCUGUCUCUUUGGAUUGCUAAACAAGUCUUUGGGAGAAAAAGUGAGUAGGAAUAAAGAGGGAGGUGUUGUACAUUUAGGUGCAAUAUGAAUCCAUCCAAGGUAUACUGGGACAGAAGAAAGGUUGAGAAUCCUUGUCCCUGCUCCUGCCUAUACACAGAAAUUUGAAACCCACUUUCUAAUAAAGAGGCUUGUUAUUUUGGAAGACAAUUUGAUGUCUCUCUCUCUCUUUUUCAG